GAUGAACGCUGGCGGCGUGCCUAAUACAUGCAAGUCGAGCGAACGGACGAGAAGCUUGCUUUUCUGAUGUUAGCGGCGGACGGGUGAGUAACACGUGGAUAACCUACCUAUAAGACUGGGAUAACUUCGGGAAACCGGAGCUAAUACCGGAUAAUAUUUUGAACCGCAUGGUUCAAAAGUGAAAGACGGUCUUGCUGUCACUUAUAGAUGGAUCCGCGCUGCAUUAGCUAGUUGGUAAGGUAACGGCUUACCAAGGCAACGAUGCAUAGCCGACCUGAGAGGGUGAUCGGCCACACUGGAACUGAGACACGGUCCAGACUCCUACGGGAGGCAGCAGUAGGGAAUCUUCCGCAAUGGGCGAAAGCCUGACGGAGCAACUCCGCGUGAGUGAUGAAGGUCUUCGGAUCGUAAAACUCUGUUAUUAGGGAAGAACAUAUGUGUAAGUAACUGUGCACAUCUUGACGGUACCUAAUCAGAAAGCCACGGCUAACUACGUG
rnacentral:rRNA from 1 species